rnacentral:lncRNA from 1 species
UUUAACCAGUGCACUCAUGUGGCACAGUUUUAAUCCUUCAUUGCUUCUGGAGAAGGGUCAUUUAAAGUGAAAUCCUGGCCUCAGAGGAGUUGGUGGGAAUUCUGAAGUGACUUCAGCAGGGGCCAUGGCUCCAUCUCUCACGUCCCCACAAGGGCACUGAGCGAGCGGAGGGGUGAGCGCUCGCGUGUAUCAAGUGCAGAAUAAAGCAGGGGGGUCAGGAGGAGGAAGUCAGGGCUCUGAACUGUGCAUUAAGCUGCUGCUGCCAAGGGACUCCUGCCAAGGAGAGGAAUAUGCACUUUACAUGCCCCAUGCACACAGUCUCUCCUUGCUCAGCGUCAAGGCCACAACGUACCGAGCGGUUUUGUGAGAAAGCAAAACACAUCUGCCUUUGUGAUGACCACUCCCAGAGCAAUCAAGCCUGAGGAAAUUUGUGUCUGAACUGAUGAAGCUCAGUUUUAUUCUCAGCUCCUCACUGGAAAUUUGAAAGUUUUUGUUCUACCUUCACUUUUUCCAUAGUGUUCCUAAUUAAAGAUCUGUGUGUUAAUUCCAUCUGGUUUGGUGUCAGCUCUUCCACGUCAUCAGCAUAUAUUCUGUUACUUCUAGCAUCCCAAAACCACAGGUGAAAUGUGCCAGGUAGAUUUGCUGUUGCGUCAC